rnacentral:rRNA from 1 species
ACACAGGUGCUGCAUGGCUGUCGUCAGCUCGUGUCGUGAGAUGUUGGGUUAAGUCCCGCAACGAGCGCAACCCUCGCCCUUAGUUGCCAUCAUUCAGUUGGGCACUCUAGGGGGACUGCCGGUGAUAAGCCGCGAGGAAGGUGGGGAUGACGUCAAGUCCUCAUGGCCCUUACAGGCUGGGCUACACACGUGCUACAAUGGCGGUGACAAUGGGAAGCGAAGGGGUGACCCGGAGCAAAUCUCCAAAAGCCGUCUCAGUUCGGAUUGCACUCUGCAACUCGAGUGCAUGAAGGUGGAAUCGCUAGUAAUCGCAGAUCAGCACGCUGCGGUGAAUACGUUCCCGGGCCUUGUACACACCGCCCGUCACACCAUGGGAGUUGG